rnacentral:rRNA from 1 species
CGAACGCUGGCGGCGUGCUUAACACAUGCAAGUCUACGAGAACGAGGUAGCAAUAUCUUUAUUAAAGUGGCGCACGGGUGAGUAACACGUAAGUAACCUACCUUUAGAUUUGGAAUAACCCCGAGAAAUCGGGGCUAAUACUGAAUGAUGCAGCGGCACCACAUGGUGAUGUUGUUAAAGUCUAUAUGACGUCUAAAGAUGGGCUUGCGUCUGAUUAGCUAGUUGGUGAGGUAACGGCCCACCAAGGCUACGAUCAGUAGCUGGUCUGAGAGGAUGAUCAGCCACACUGGAACUGAGACACGGUCCAGACUCCUACGGGAGGCAGCAGUGAGGAAUAUUGGGCAAUGCCCGGAAGGGUGACCCAGCAACGCCGCGUGGAGGAUGAAUGUCGUAAGAUUGUAAACUCCUGUUAGAGGGGAAGAAUAAUUCCGAUUGAAUCGGAACUUGACUGUACCCUCAGAGAAAGCCCCGGCUAACUAC